AUGAGACUGCUGAAACUAUCUGAAUGCAUUAGUGUCCAAUUAAAUUUAGCUUCCCUGGCCUGCCUCAACAAGGACCCCCGAUUCCGGCCCACAGCCAAGGAGCUCCUGAAGCACAAGUUCAUCACACGCUACACCAAGAAGACCUCCUUCCUUACGGAGCUCAUCGACAGCUAUAAGCGCUGGAAGUCAGAGGGGCAUGGCGAGGAGUCCAGCCCUGAGGACUCUGACAUUGAUGGCGAGGCGGAGGACGGAGAGCAGGGCCCCAUCUGGACGUUCCCCCCUACCAUCCGGCCGAGUCCACACAGCAAGCUUCACAAGGGGACGGCCCUGCACGGCUCACAGAAGACUGCGGAGCCUGUCAAGAGGCAGCCGAGAUCCCAGUGCCUGUCCACGCUGGUCCGGCCCGUCUUCGGAGAGCUCAAAGAGAAGCACAAGCAGAGCGGCAGGAGCGUGGGUGCACUGGAGGAGCUGGAGAACGCCUUCAGCCUGGCGGAGGAGUCCUGCCCCGGCAUCUCAGACAAGCUGAUGGUGCACCUGGUGGAGCGAGUGCAGAGGUUUUCACACAACAGAAACCACCUGACAUCCACCCGCUGAAGCGCGCUGCUGUUCAGAUAGGGGACAGAAGGUCUUUUGUUUUUGUUCUGAACUCCAUAAGAACUGUGCUGACUUGGAAGGUGCCCUGUGCUGUGUCGUGCCUGCAGGGACACAUCAGAUCCUGUGGGCCUCACAUGCCAGGUCACCAGGUCACCGUCUCCUUCCACCCCGGCAGUGUGCUGUUCUGCACAUCGGGGACGCUGUUCUAUAUGCCCACUGCCCUCCUCCCUCUCCUGGCCCAGCAGUAGAGCUCAUGGGGGCUCCAGCAGCUGGCGUGGCCCUCGUGAGCUAUGCCUGGGUCUUCUGCAGACUCACGCAGCCCUAUGGCCGCUCAGACCAAGGCGCAGAGCAACUAUCAGGGCAGCUCUGCCUCCUCCUCCCAUGAGGUGGGGAGAGGCAACAGGGCAGCCCCCAGAGAAAUGUCCUGGCCGCUGUCCUCCCAGGGCCCAUGAUGACCAUAGAUUUGCCUUGUGGUGUUGGAUCAGGUACUGUUUCUGCUCAUAAGUACUUGUGUCAUCCAGAAUGUUUUGUUUUUUAAGAAAAUUGAAUUUACUUGUUUCCUGAAAUAUUCUGAGGUUAAUAUGUUAGUUUUCAUAGAACAUUGAGAGGCCCCUGCCACUUUCAAUAAAGACCUGACUUGGAAAAAA